rnacentral:rRNA from 1 species
AGAGUUUGAUCCUGGCUCAGAACGAACGCUGGCGGCAUGCCUAACACAUGCAAGUCGAACGAGACCUUCGGGUCUAGUGGCGCACGGGUGCGUAACGCGUGGGAAUCUGCCCUUGGGUUCGGAAUAACAGCGAGAAAUUGCUGCUAAUACCGGAUGAUGACGUAAGUCCAAAGAUUUAUCGCCCAAGGAUGAGCCCGCGUAGGAUUAGCUAGUUGGUGAGGUAAAGGCUCACCAAGGCGACGAUCCUUAGCUGGUCUGAGAGGAUGAUCAGCCACACUGGGACAGAGACACGGCCCAGACUCCUACGGGAGGCAGCAGUGGGGAAUAUUGGACAAUGGGCGAAAGCCUGAUCCAGCAAUGCCGCGUGAGUGAUGAAGGCCUUAGGGUUGUAAAGCUCUUUUACCCGGGAUGAUAAUGACAGUACCGGGAGAAUAAGCUCCGGCUAACUCCGUG